AAGACUAUACUUUCAGGGAUCAUUUCUAUAGUUUGUGACUAGAAUUAUCAUCUAGUUUUAAAGGGUCAAAUGGUGAAUCUUUGUUGUGAAUAGUAUAAAACUACUUCCAUAACACUACUGAAGU
ensembl:snoRNA U3 Small nucleolar RNA U3